UACUAUGUUACGACUUAUCUUACCUUAAUAAUAAGAGCGACGGGCGAUGUGUGCAUAUUCUAGAGCUAAAAUCAAAUCCACAAUCUUUAAAAUUUUACUGUCAAAUCCACCUUCACUAAUCAUAUUUCAAAAUUAGAUCCAUAUAAAUAAAUUUAUUGUAACCCAUCUCUACUCAAAUAUAAGCUACACCUUGAUCUGAUAUAAAUUCUUAUAAAAAUUACAGAAAAUUAUUUUUCUAAUAAAAUAUUCUAAUAACGACGGUAUAUAAACUGAAAAACAAAUUUAAGUAAGGUUCAACGUGGAUUAUCAAUUACAGGACAGGUUCCUCUGAAUAGACUAAAAUACCGCCAAAUUUUUUAAGUUUCAAGAACAUAACUACUACUACCUUAGUGUUUUAAAUUACAUUUUAAAUAAUAGGGUAUCUAAUCCUAGUUUA
rnacentral:rRNA from 1 species